UACCAGCACCCCGAGUGGUCGGGACGAUUAUUGGGCCUAAAGCAUCCGUAGCCGGUCCUACAAGUCUUCCGUUAAAUCCACCUGCUUAACAGAUGGGCUGCGGAAGAUACUAUAGGGCUAGGAGGCGGGAGAGGCAAGCGGUACUCAGUGGGUAGGGGUAAAAUCCGUUGAUCCAUUGAAGACCACCAGUGGCGAAGGCGGCUUGCCAGAAUGCGCUCGACGGUGAGGGAUGAAAGCUGGGGGAGCAAACCGGG
rnacentral:rRNA from 1 species